rnacentral:rRNA from 1 species
AGAAUAAAUUUAUUAAUUAUUUUUUUUAAAAAUAAAAUUAUUAUAAAAAUAAUUUUAAUAAUUUAUGUUUAAGUAUAUUUUAUAGAAAAAAUAAUGUUUAUUAUAGAGAAUUAGUAUUGUAAAAGAAUAUUGAAAUAAUUUGAAAAUUUUUUUUUUUAAAAGAAAUAUUUAUUUUGUGUACCUUUUGUAUCAGGGUUUAUUAAAUAAAUUUUGUUAAUAUAUAAAUUUCUCGAAUUUAAAAGAGUUAAUAAGUUAUGAAAGUUAAUGUAAAAAAAUUAUUUUUAAUAAUUUAUUAGUAAUGAGAUGUUAUUCGUUUUUAAAUAUAUCUAGUUUUUUAAGAAAUAAAUUUAAUUUAUUUAUUAAUAAAAUAAUUUUUUUUUAUAUAAAAUUAAUUAUUUAUUAAUAAAAAUAUUAUAAGGGAUAAGCUUUAUUUUAUUUUCUAUAAUUAAAUCAAGUUAGAUUUUAUUUGUAAGUUUAGAAAUAGCUAUCAAUAAUAAGUUUGUUUUAAUUUAUAAAAUUAAUAUAUAAUUUUUAAAAAUUUAGAAUUUUUAUUAAAAUAUUUAUUGUAAUAAUUUAAGUUAAAUAAUAAUGAUAAAAUUAGUAUAAAUUUAUAUAUUUAAUUUGUUAAUAAUUAAAGAUUAAAUUAAGGAAUUCGGCAAAAUUAAUACUCACCUGUUUAACAAAAACAUGUCUUUUUGAUAAUAAUUUAAAGUCUAGCCUGCCCACUGAAUAAUUUGAAGGGCCGCGGUAUUUUGACUGUGCAAAGGUAGCAUAAUCAUUAGUCUUUUAAUUGAAGGCUUGUAUGAAUGGUUGGAUGAGGUAUUAACUGUCUCAAUUUAAUAAAAUAAAGAAUUUUAUUUUUAAGUUAAAAAGCUUAAAUUUAAUUGGAGGACGAGAAGACCCUAUAGAUCUUUAUAAUUAUUUUGAUAAUAAUUUUAUGGAAUAAAUUUAUUAUUAUUAAUUUUAUUAUUUUAUUGGGGUGAUAAAAAAAUUUAAUAAACUUUUUUUUAAAAAAAUAUACAAUUAUAUUUGAAUAAUGGAUCCAUUUUUAGUGAUUAUAAGAUUAAGUUACCUUAGGGAUAACAGCGUAAUUUUUUUGGAGAGUUCAUAUCUAUAAAAAAGAUUGCGACCUCGAUGUUGAAUUAAAGGUUAAUUUUAGGUGUAGAAGUUUAAAAUUUUGGUCUGUUCGACCAUUAAAUCUUUACAUGAUUUGAGUUCAAACCGGCGUGAGCCAGGUUGGUUUCUAUCCUCAAUUAUAUAAAAUAUUUUAGUACGAAAGGACCAAAUAUUUAAAUUAAAUUUUUAAUAUUGAAUAUAAUUAAU